AUACGUAGGUGGCAAGCGUUGUCCGGAAUUAUUGGGCGUAAAGCGCAUGUAGGCGGUUUGGUAAGUCGGUCGUGAAAAUGCGGUGCUUAACGCCGUAUGGCGAUUGAAACUGCUGAACUUGAGUGCAGGAGAGGAAAGGGGAACUCCCAGUGUAGCGGUGAAAUGCGUAGAUAUUGGGAAGAACACCGGUGGCGAAGGCGCCUUUCUGGACUGUGUCUGACGCUCAGAUGCGAAAGCCAGGGUAGCGAACGGGAUUAGAUCCCCCGGUAGUCCUGGCCGUAAACGAUGGGUACUAGGUGUGGGAGGUAUCGACUCCUUCCGUGCCGGAGUUAACGCAAUAAGUACCCCGCCUGGGGAGUACGGCCGCAAGGCUUAAACUCAAAUGAAUUGACGGG
rnacentral:rRNA from 1 species